UACGUAGGGUGCAAGCGUUAAUCGGAAUUACUGGGCGUAAAGCGUGCGCAGGCGGUGAUGUAAGACAGUUGUGAAAUCCCCGGGCUCAACCCGGGAACUGCGUCCGAUACUGGAAGGCUUGAAUCCGGGAGAGGGAUGUGGAAUUCCAGGUGUAGCGGUGAAAUGCGUAGAUAUCUGGAGGAACACCGGUGGCGAAGGCGGCAUCCUGGACCGGUAUUGACGCUGAGGCGCGAAAGCUAGGGGAGCAAACGGG
rnacentral:rRNA from 1 species